rnacentral:rRNA from 1 species
CCUACGGGAGGCAGCAGUGAGGAAUAUUGGUCAAUGGGCGGAAGCCUGAACCAGCCAAGUCGCGUGAGGGAUUAAGGCCCUAUGGGUCGUAAACCUCUUUUGUCAGGGAGCAAGGUCGGCCACGUGUGGGCGAAUGGAGAGUACCUGAAGAAAAAGCAGCGGCUAACUCCGUGCCAGCAGCCGCGGUAAUACGGAGGAUGCGUGCGUUAUCCGGAUUGAUUGGGUUUAAAGGGUGCGUAGGCGGGGCCUUAAGUCAGCGGUCAAAUUGCGGUGCUCAACGCCGUAGAGCCGUUGAAACUGGGGCUCUUGAGUGAGCGAGAAGUAUGCGGAAUGCGUGGUGUAGCGGUGAAAUGCAUAGAUAUCACGCAGAACCCCGAUUGCGAAGGCAGCAUACCGGCGCUCAACUGACGCUGAGGCACGAAAGUGCGGGUAUCGAACAGGAUUAGAUACCCCAGUAGUC